rnacentral:rRNA from 1 species
GAUGAACGCUGGCGGCGUGCCUAAUGCAUGCAAGUCGAGCGAACGGACGAGAAGCUUGCUUCUCUGAUGUUAGCGGCGGACGGGUGAGUAACACGUGGAUAACCUACCUAUAAGACUGGGAUAACUUCGGGAAACCGGAGCUAAUACCGGAUAAUAUUUUGAACCGCAUGGUUCAAAAGUGAAAGACGGUCUUGCUGUCACUUAUAGAUGGAUCCGCGCUGCAUUAGCUAGUUGGUAAGGUAACGGCUUACCAAGGCAACGAUGCAUAGCCGACCUGAGAGGGUGAUCCGCCACACUGGAACUGAGACACGGUCCAGACUCCUACGGGAGGCAGCAGUAGGGAAUCUUCCGCCAUGGGCGAAAGCCUGACGGAGCAACGCCGCGUGAGUGAUGGAGGUCUUCGGAUCGUAAAACUCUGUUAUUAGGGAAGAACAUAUGUGUAAGUAACUGUGCACAUCUUGACGGUACCUAAUCAGAAAGCCACGGCUAAACACGUG